CAGUAGCCGCGGGAAUACAGAGGGUGCAAGCGUUAAUCGGAAUUACUGGGAGUAAAGCGCGCGUAGGUGGUUUGUUAAGUUGGAUGUGAAAUCCCCGGGCUCAACCUGGGAACUGCAUCCAAAACUGGCAAGCUAGAGUAUGGUAGAGGGUGGUGGAAUUUCCUGUGUAGCGGUGAAAUGCGUAGAUAUAGGAAGGAACACCAGUGGCGAAGGCGACCACCUGGACUGAUACUGACACUGAGGUGCGAAAGCGUGGGGAGCAAACAGGAUUAGAUACCCCCGUAGUCCCUGUCUCUUAUAU
rnacentral:rRNA from 1 species